ensembl:lncRNA
GCUUUUGGAAAGUCCCAGGGCACAAGCUCUGUGAUACCAGCCCCAGGUUGAAAGGCAUGUAGGUGCUCUAGGCUGACAGCCCAAGGCAUUAGAUGAGAGAUUGAACCCACUCUGAAGAUGGAAAGAAUAGGGAAACCCUAAGGGCAUAUGGAUUUUCAAGGGCCACAUCACAGAUGAGAAGAAGGAGCCUGUCUGAAAGAGCUGUGUUUUCAGAGCUCAGGCCCUGGGUGCACCCAGGCUUUCCAAAGCUGUGGGGUGAGUGGUGUGCGUGUCACUGUGCCUGCACUAGGCCUAAGGGGUGGGUGAACAGACAGAAAUCCAGAGGUUCGCUUGGGGAGCUUUGGUAAGAGACCUCGGCAAGGAACUUGGGAAAUGAUGUCAUUUCCUGGCAACAGAACCAAACAGAACACGGAAACCGGAUCUCCAGGCCUCACAGUGGAGAGGAGACCCCAGCAAGUUCGCGGGCAGCCUGGAUGUUUUGCUGGGUGCCUCGAGAGAGCUCACCGGCCAGGUGUGUGGGAACACAGUCAGUGCAGCCUCAGGAAACCCCUGAGAGGCCUCUGGCCCUUUGACCAAAGGAACAGAAAGAGCUUCCCAGUCGACGUGGCCGAUGAGGGGUCAACCCAUUCACCUCUCCGAGAGAGGCGUCGUAUCACCAACCCCCUGCCCGUGAGGCCCAGUGCAGGCUCCAGCUCUAGCACUGGCCUCUCAUUACAAUCAGACUCCACCUCCAAAUCCUAUCCCUACAGCAGUGGGUGCUCCAGGUGCAGGAUCCAGGGAUCCACUGAGGGGACAUCGAGACCUGAGACUUCCCUUCCCAAAGACACUGGGCCAGCUGGGUACUGGCCACACACUGGGAAUAUCGGACUUCUGUGCCUGCAGGACCCCCAGCCACAGGCACCGAUGUCUCACCCCCUCAGAGAGAACAUCCACCUCCACCUGCAACUGUACCUGCCCGGACUUUGGCAGAAGAACCCGAGUCAGAGGAUGAGUCACCACCUCUGCAGGGAGAGUCUGCCCUGGCUCCUGCCCAAGACCCAGAUUCCCAGGAUGACUGACCCAUCCCUGCAGGGAGAAUGGGCCUCCACUCUGGACAGAGACCUAGAGCCCUUUUGGGAAACACCUUGUCCAGGGGAGCAGUUGGCUCUGCAGCCUCCAUCCCUGCCUGCUUCCUGUGGAUGCCAUCAACUCGAUCCCCACUCAGGGCAGAUUGAGUGCCCUUCCCCCAAGCUUAUUUGCAUCUGGUGUGUGUGUAUCUUUCUUGUGAUGUUUUAUUUUAUUUAUGGCUUUAUUUAUUUGUUUCUGUUAAGAUUCUCAUAGUAAAUUUAAAUUUAAUUGAUGCAG